rnacentral:rRNA from 1 species
UGAGAAUUUGAUCUUAGUUCAGAUCGAAUGCUGACGGCGUGGAUGAGGCAUGCAAGUCGCACGAUAUGGGGGCAACUCCAUAUAGUGGCGUAAGGGUUAGUAAUACAUAGAUAAUCUGCCUUCUACCUUGGAAUAACGGCUGGAAACGGCCGCUAAUACCGAAUGAAGUAGCAUCGGGCAUCUGGUGCUAUAAAAGCGGAGGACCGAAAGGCUUUGCAGUAGAAGAAGAGUCUAUGGGAUAUCAGCUAGUUGGUGAGGUAACGGCUCACCAAGGCUAAGACGUCUAGGCGGAUUGAGAGAUUGACCGCCAACACUGGGACUGAGACACUGCCCAGACUCCUACGGGAGGCUGCAGUCGAGAAUCUUUCGGAAUGGGCGCAAGCCUGACGAAGCGACGCCGUGUGAGUGAAGAAGGCCUUCGGGUUGUAAAGCUCUUUCGCUAGGGAACAAGAGAGACAGGAUAAUACCCUGUUAAUUUGAUGGUACUUGGUAAAGAAGCACCGGCUAACUCCGUGCCAGCAGCUGCGGUAAUACGGAGGGUGCAAGCAUUGAUCGGAAUUACUGGGCGUAAAGGGCGCGUAGGCGGUCGAAUCA